CCUCACAAAGACCACAGGAGAGGGAAUAUUCUCUGAUUACUAGCUAGCCUUGCAGAACGCCUGUCCAAAGAGGAAUGUUUUAAGGCUAGUUUUACAAUUCACCUUUUUCGGAGAAGUGCAAUUCUGAAAAAAACAGUACCCCACACAUGAACACACAGCAAAAUCUUGCUUCAAAAACCAUUUAAAAAUGUACAAUUUUUACUUUUCUGGUUGUGGUAAUCUCUUAGUUCUGUUUGUUUUUCCUCAUGUUUUCUGUGUGGGUUGGCUGUUGCUUCUCCAGCAGGGCUCCGCCUUCUCUCCAGUGGCUCUCCAUGGAUUGGCACACAGCUGCCUCCACUCUAGAUUCAUUUGUUUGAGCUGUGUUUGAGUGUUUCUGCACUCAGCGUUGGAGUGUUGCUUUAGUUUAGUCCUUGGGUCCGUCACUUCUUGCUCCAUAGUCAUGCUGUUUUGAAAUUUUGCUUUGGGGAUUUUUUCCCACCUAAAGUGGCACUUUUGGUUAAUUCUGGAGCAUCCUGGUUUACCGUAACAGGAAGUGGUGUUCAUACCAUGCACUGAUGCCCACAUGACAUCCUCCCAAUCCUCCUCUGGAUUACCCAGUUGGUCUCCGGCAAACUUAUACAGGUCAUUGACCAGUUCUGGGCUAUUCCCUCCCUGUUCUAAAGAUCACUUGGAUUGCACAGAGUGGAGGGAGAUUGUCAAUCAUCUUGAAUUUAUUAUAUUUUCCAAUAAUUGCCUUUUAUAGAUUGGUUUUCUCCAGUCUUAUGUGAACAAUCACGUCCCUGGUGUCCUUUGACAGCUCUUUGGUCUUAUGGUGGAGAGGUUGCAGUCUGACUGUUAAAGGUGUAGGCAGGUGUCUUUUAUACAAAUAAUCCGUGAAUUUGUGUUUGUUUGUAGGAGCUAAAUACUUCUGCACCAUAGUACAAAUACAUUUUUUAAAAUGAAUUCUUUUUGUAAUUCAUUUUUACAUUCUGUCUCCUACAUUUGAAGUGUAUCUAGGGCCAACAUUACAAAUCUCUCCCAUCUUUUUAAGUGGAUCGACUUGAAGAAUCUGUGAAUGAUACUUUUUUGACCCCACUGUAUUUACUCCCAACAACGGUAGAAACCUACAAUACAUGUAGAAAUAAAGUUAGUAAAGAAAUGUUAUGCUCAACUGAUAAGCCAGUAAAAUGACAAUCUACCCUAGACAUGACCUGUAAACUCUCAUUGUGUUAUAUUCAUAUACACAGGAGAGCAUCGUUAAAUAGCUAAAGAAAAAAAUAAAACUAACAUUUGUUUGGCACAACUGUGGCUCACAAUAUUACCAUAGGAAAUCGCAGAAGUCCUGUUUGGAAUUAAUUUAUUUGACUUGUGUUUGAAGUUGCUCAACAUGCGUAUCACUCAAAACUUUCUUUCCUAAAAAUUCUACAGUUAAAAAUUGCCCUUCUGACACGAAGCCUCGAAUGCAACAACAUCAAGUUUGAUGGAUUUCUGAAUAACAAUCAGAAAGUUCUUGAGCUGAUCCAGAACACUGUUAAGGGAUACAUUACAAAAUGGAAUUAGUUUUUUUUUUAUGAACUGUCUCCCAGUAAAAAUCAGGUUCAAUAUGUUUUUCCUCAAAAGCUUUAAUUGUACCUCUUAAUCUAAAAUGAUUCAUUAAUCUUUAUGUUUUGGAAAUAGAUAAACUUUGCUUUAAAUAGUU